rnacentral:lncRNA from 1 species
AAAUAUAUGUAUUUAUAAUUUUGUAAGAUAUUAAAAAAGUCCAAUUAAAAAUGCGCAUGCACACAAUGUAAAACGCGUAAAAAUAUAUUUUUGUAAUUAAUUUAUUCACAGGCUAUACAAUUGGAUGUACCCAUUUGAGUUAAUAAAUUUGUUUUUAAAUAUGAUAAUAAUAAAAUAAAUAAAUGAUCAUACUGCUUUUUGAUAAAUGUAAUUAAAAGAAAUGUAAAGUGAAAAAAAAUAUAUAUAUGAAUGUAUCAUUGAAUUAUGCAUAUUGUGUAAAUUUUAGUUUUACGCAAAAAGUUGUUUUAUUUGUGCAGCAUGAAUAAUUUAAAAAAAUUUAUAAUUGUAUAUAAAAAAGAAAUAAAUAAAUAAGUACAUCAACAAAGUUUAUAUAUAUAUAUUUUAAUGCACAUUUUUUUUUUUUUUUUACUCAUCUUCUCUUUUAUUUUUCCACUUAUCUGACACCUUUGUACUUCCAAACAUAGCUUUUCCCAAAUUUCGACUAACACGUAAUAGUAUUUCAGGAUUAUUGUAAUUACUAACAGCUAGAACAAUAGAAGAAGCCACCUUUUUAGGAUUUUCACUUUCAAAUACUCCAGAUCCGACAAACACUCCAUCCAUACCUAACUGCAUACACAUGGCAGCAUCUGCUGGAGUUGCUACACCACCAGCAGCAAAAUUAACAACAGGUAAUCUUUUUAACUUUCUGGUUUGUUGUAAAAGUUCAAUAGGAGCACGGAUUUUUUUAGCAUAAUUAUAUACUUCACUAUCAUCUAAAGAACAUAAGUAAUUAAUUUCAUUUUUUAAAGUUCUUAUAUGUUUAACAGCUUCAGCUAUAUUACCUGUUCCAGCUUCACCUUUCGUUCUUAUCAUGGAUGCACCUUCAGAUAUUCGUCUUAAGGCUUCUCCUAAAUUAGUACAUCCGCAUACAAAAGUUCUAGCUACACCUUCUUUGUUACGAAGCUCGGAUGGAAUAUUUUCCAAAACCAUAAUACCUAUAGCUCCUGCUUCCUCUGCUAUUUUCGCUUGUUCUACAUUUUUUACGUCCAUUAUAACACCACCUUUUAACAUUUCGCACCAUCCUAGUUUUAAGGAAUUUAUAUCAUCAUUUUUACAGUCUUUCAUUGGUUCAAAUUGGCGAUAAAAAAAAAAAAUUUAAAUAAAUUAAGUCUAUAUAAAUAAGUGUAUAAACA